GCAAACGCAAUGAAGAGGGCAAGCAUUAUUUUUACAGCUGGCAGAGAGGGGAGAAAAGGUGAGAGCUCCCUAGUGAUGGAAAAUAAUGUACCACCUCAAAAGCUGUAUUGGGGAAACAAGAGUAACCAGUACCGUAAAGCUACGUUACAGCACAAUAAGCCAAAUAGGUAGUAUUGCCAUUUGGGAAAUUGGGUGGAACCACGGAUAACACAUUCGUCCCUUUC
rnacentral:ncRNA from 1 species